rnacentral:lncRNA from 1 species
CCUGCCAUGUGAGCCUGAGCCCCUCUCCCCGCGGCUGGCUGGGGUGGCGGUACCUACAGUGGGGAUCUGAGUGGGCGGUGGCAGCCCAGGAAGGACACAUGGGGUGAUCUCACAGGCAGAGCCUAGGCCUGCGCCCCUCGGCCUGGCGGAGCGAGUCACAGGGUGCACAGGGUGUGGCCCUGGGCCUUCUCUUCCGGGGUGGGCCUGUAUUGCCACCCCCGCCUGUCCUCAGCAGAGAGAAGGGGAGCUUGAAAGUCACCAGGAAGGCGAGUUGGCAGCCCCAUCGCUGCUGUGGCUCCUGCCUGCUCUCCAAGGUGACUCCAGAGGCCCUGACCCCUGAGCAGAAGGCCUCAAAGGGCCUUGGUGUCUCUCCAGGGGCCUGGGCGUGUCCUUGCAUCCUGUGCCUGCCCGGCUGUGUCUCUGCAGAUUCUCGGAGCCUCAGGCUUAGCAGGGCUCCCGACAAGCUCAGCAGCCCUGGGUGACCAGGGUCCUCCGUGACAAGCUCAGCAGCCCUGGGUGACCAGGGUCCUCCGUGACAAGCUCAGCAGCCCUGGGUGACCAGGGUCCUCCCGACAAGCUCAGCAGCCCUGGGUGACCAGGGUCCUCUGUGACAAGCUCAGCAGCCCUGGGUGACCAGGGUCCUCCCGACAAGCUCAGCAGCCCUGGGUGACCAGGGUCCUCCCGACAAGCUCAGCAGCCCUGGGUGACCAGGGUCCUCCGUGACAAGCUCAGCAGCCCUGGGUGACCAGGGUCCUCAGUGACACGCUCAGUAGCCUUCAGAUGCCCUUGAGGUGAAUGGGGGCAGCUCUGGAGCAGUGGGAAAUGGUGGCUCGAGUCUGGGAGGCAGAGCGGCCCCUGCCCUCUGCCCGGGUCCCUGGUCAUGCAGAACACAGCAGCACCUUGGGCCUGGGCGUGGGCACAGCUGCUGGGGGCCAGGCAGACCCUUCCCUGUGAACAGGCGGACCCCAAACGAGGCCAGCAGCUGGAGGAGUUGGGAAGAGGGAAGAAGAGGCUGGGAAGCAGGAGGGGUGGGCGGCGAGGCCGGGAGGACCUGAGGUGGGGUCCGACCCCCGAGCUGUGCAGCCUUCCGAGUCCUGGAGAAGUCUCUAGGGCCCCUAUUUGGGGCCCUGGGGGUGACUGGAGAGCCUGGGCAAUACCCCCACCCCACAGACCCUGGGAGUGGGGUACUGAGGCCCAGAACAGCAGCCAGUGGGCCAGAUAGGCAGGAACUCGGGGUGCCAGCUCCCCGUCACUGCACAGCGAGUGCAGGGCUGUGGCGGGCAGGGGUGUGGGUGGGCAGCAGAGGGGCCCAAGCCCCACACCAGCACCAGGACAGCCUCUGUGUCAGAGGCAGGGGGUGAGGUGGUCUUAGGGGAGGAGGGCUGCUGCCCAGAGAGAGGACGGGUAGGUGUGGGUGAGCGUGUGUGGCCGUGGGCUCAUGGGUGUGCAUGAGUGUACGAGGGACCUUGGGG